AGUGAACGCUGGCGGCAGGCCUAACACAUGCAAGUCGAACGAGUGGCGGACGGGUGAGUAAUGGCUAGGAAACUGCCUGAUGGAGGGGGAUAACUACUGGAAACGGUAGCUAAUACCGCAUACCAUCGGAGGUGCCCAUAUGGGAUUAGCUAGUAGGUGGGGUAAAGGCUCACCUAGGCGACGAUCCCUAGCUGGUGUGAGAGGAUGACCGGCUACACUGGGACUGAGACACGGUCCAGACGCCUACGGGAGGCAGCAGUGGGGAAUAUUGCACAAUGGGCGCAAGCCUGAUGCAGCCAUGCCGCGUGUAUGAAGAAGGCCUUCGGGUUGUAAAGUACUUUCAGCGGGGAGGCGUUACCGGCAGAAGAAGCACCGGCUAACUCCGUGCCAGCAGCCGCGGUAAUUC
rnacentral:rRNA from 1 species